rnacentral:rRNA from 1 species
UACGAAGGGGGCUAGCGUUGCUCGGAAUCACUGGGCGUAAAGGGCGCGUAGGCGGAUCUUUAAGUCGGGGGUGAAAGCCCAGGGCUCAACCCUGGAAUUGCCUUCGAUACUGAAGAUCUCGAGACCGGAAGAGGUUAGUGGAACUGCGAGUGUAGAGGUGAAAUUCGUAGAUAUUCGCAAGAACACCAGUGGCGAAGGCGGCCAACUGGUCCGAUACUGACGCUGAGGCGCGAAAGCGUGGGGAGCAAACAGG